UUAAGCGACUAAGCGUACACGGUGGAUGCCUAGGCAAUCAGAGGCGAUGAAGGACGUGCUAAUCUGCGAUAAGCGUCGGUAAGGUGAUAUGAACCGUUACAACCGACGAUUUCCGAAUGGGGAAACCCAGUGCAAUCCGUUGCACUAUCGUUUGAUGAAUACAUAGUCAAACGAAGCGAACCGGGGGAACUGAAACAUCUCAGUACCCCGAGGAAAAGAAAUCAACCGAGAUUCCCCUAGUAGCGGCGAGCGAACGGGGAGCAGCCCAGAGUCUUAAUCAGCAUUAGCAUCAGGAGAACGGUCUGGAAAGUCCGGCAGUAAAGGGUGAUAGCCCCGUAUCCGAAGGUGUUAGUGUUGUGAACUCGACGAGUAGGGCGGGACACGUGUUAUCCUGUCUGAAUAUGGGGGGACCAUCCUCCAAGGCUAAAUACUCCUGAUUGACCGAUAGUGAACCAGUACCGUGAGGGAAAGGCGAAAAGAACCCCGGCGAGGGGAGUGAAAUAGAACCUGAAACCGUGUACGUACAAGCAGUGGGAGCCUUGAUUUAUCAGGGUGACUGCGUACCUUUUGUAUAAUGGGUCAGCGACUUAUAUUCUGUAGCAAGGUUAACCGAAUAGGGGAGCCGUAGGGAAACCGAGUCUUAACUGGGCGAAUAAGUUGCAGGGUAUAGACCCGAAACCCGGUGAUCUAGCCAUGGGCAGGUUGAAGGUUGGGUAACACUAACUGGAGGACCGAACCGACUAAUGUUGAAAAAUUAGCGGAUGACUUGUGGCUGGGGGUGAAAGGCCAAUCAAACCGGGAGAUAGCUGGUUCUCCCCGAAAGCUAUUUAGGUAGCGCCUCGUGAACUCAUCUUCGGGGGUAGAGCACUGUUUCGACUAGGGGGUCAUCCCGACUUACCAACUCGAUGCAAACUACGAAUACCGAAGAAUGUUAUCACGGGAGACACACGGCGGGUGCUAACGUUCGUCGUGAAGAGGGAAACAACCCAGACCGCCAGCUAAGGUCCCAAAGUCAUAGUUAAGUGGGAAACGAAGUGGGAAGGCUCAGACAGCCAGGAUGUUGGCUUAGAAGCAGCCAUCAUUUAAAGAAAGCGUAAUAGCUCACUGGUCGAGUCGGCCUGCGCGGAAGAUGUAACGGGGCUAAACUAUGCACCGAAGCUGCGGCAGCGAACGUAUCACUUAAACUGAUUAAGUGAUACUCAAAUGUAUCAAAACGAUUGACGGAGCGAAGCGACGUCAAUGCGUCCAACAAAGUCGAGGCGGAAACGUCAGGCAGUCAGUUUAAGGAUACGUUCGUUGGGUAGGGGAGCGUUCUGUAAGCCUGUGAAGGUUUGCUGUGAGGCAUGCUGGAGGUAUCAGAAGUGCGAAUGCUGACAUAAGUAACGAUAAUGCGGGUGAAAAACCCGCACGCCGGAAGACCAAGGGUUCCUGUCCAACGUUAAUCGGGGCAGGGUGAGUCGACCCCUAAGGCGAGGCAGAAAUGCGUAGUCGAUGGGAAACGGGUUAAUAUUCCCGUACUGGUGAUAAUUGCGAUGGGGGGACGGAGAAGGCUAGGCUAUCCGGGCGACGGUUGUCCCGGUUUAAGGAUGUAGGCAGGUGAAUUAGGCAAAUCCGGUUCACUAUAUGCUGAGGUCCGAUGACGAGUCACUACGGUGAUGAAGUAGCUCAUGCCCCGCUUCCAGGAAAAGCCUCUAAGCUCUAGAUUAUCAUUAAUCGUACCCCAAACCGACACAGGUGGUCAGGUAGAGAAUACUCAGGCGCUUGAGAGAACUCGGGUGAAGGAACUAGGCAAAAUGGUGCCGUAACUUCGGGAGAAGGCACGCUGGCAUUAGGUGAAGUGAUUUACUCAUGGAGCUGAAGCCAGUCGCAGAUACCAGCUGGCUGCAACUGUUUAUUAAAAACACAGCACUGUGCAAACACGAAAGUGGACGUAUACGGUGUGACGCCUGCCCGGUGCUGGAAGGUUAAUUGAUGGGGUUAUCCGUAAGGAGAAGCUCUUGAUCGAAGCCCCAGUAAACGGCGGCCGUAACUAUAACGGUCCUAAGGUAGCGAAAUUCCUUGUCGGGUAAGUUCCGACCUGCACGAAUGGCGUAAUGAUGGCCAGGCUGUCUCCACCCGAGACUCAGUGAAAUUGAACUCGCUGUGAAGAUGCAGUGUACCCGCGGCAAGACGGAAAGACCCCGUGAACCUUUACUAUAGCUUGACACUGAACAUUGAGCCUUGAUGUGUAGGAUAGGUGGGAGGCUUGAAGCGUGGACGCCAGUCUGCGUGGAGCCAACCUUGAAAUACCACCCUUUAAUGUUUGAUGUUCUAACGUUGCCCCAUUAUCUGGGGUGCGGACAGUGUCUGGUGGGUAGUUUGACUGGGGCGGUCUCCUCCCAAAGAGUAACGGAGGAGCACGAAGGUUGGCUAAGCAUGGUCGGACAUCAUGCGGUUAGUGCAAAGGCAUAAGCCAGCUUGACUGCGAGAGUGACGGCUCGAGCAGGUACGAAAGUAGGUCUUAGUGAUCCGGUGGUUCUGAAUGGAAGGGCCAUCGCUCAACGGAUAAAAGGUACUCCGGGGAUAACAGGCUGAUACCGCCCAAGAGUUCAUAUCGACGGCGGUGUUUGGCACCUCGAUGUCGGCUCAUCACAUCCUGGGGCUGAAGUAGGUCCCAAGGGUACGGCUGUUCGCCGUUUAAAGUGGUACGCGAGCUGGGUUUAGAACGUCGUGAGACAGUUCGGUCCCUAUCUGCCGUGGGCGUUGGAAGAUUGAAAGGGGCUGCUCCUAGUACGAGAGGACCGGAGUGGACGCACCACUGGUGUUCGGGUUGUCAUGCCAAUGGCAUUGCCCGGUAGCUAAGUGCGGAAGAGAUAACCGCUGAAAGCAUCUAAGCGGGAAACUUGCCUUGAGAUGAGUCUUCCCUGACCCUUAAAGGGUCCUAAAGGAACGUUUAAGACUAAGACGUUGAUAGGUUGGGUGUGUAAGCGUAGCGAUACGUUGAGCUAACCAAUACUAAUGAACCGUGAGGCUUAACCUG
rnacentral:rRNA from 1 species